rnacentral:lncRNA from 1 species
CACCUCCACCGCUGGUUCCGCCGCCGUUGCAAUCGCCGGUUCUGCGGCCGUUUCUGCCACAAUUGUAGGAAGCUUUUCAAUCGAGCCAUCUCCUCUAUCAACAUUAUUGGUUUCAGAUUUGUUUGCUUUGUAGCUACGGUUGUCGCUGCAGUUUCUGCCGCCGUUGUCGCCGCAGUUUCCGCCAUCGUUGCCGCUGUAGUUGCCGCGGUUGAAAGCUUCUGAAUCGUGCCACUGUUUCAGAUCUAUUUUCUCCUUCGAGCUGCGCUGGUAUUCUUCUUCUUCUCCAUAUUUCACUUGUCUCUGUUUCUUAAAUAUAUGCUAUUAGAGUUAAAAUCUUGUACCAAUAGAUUGUUCUGUUCUUCUUGAAUGGUGAGUCCCACCUGGUCACGAAUGUUGCCAUGCAAUUUAUGUGUUAACACGUAAUUGUUGAAGUCUAUGAAUUGCUCACUUCAUUGGGUUUCACUGUUGAAGAAACUGAUAUCUUACGAGGCUACUGGGAUGCUGCUGCUUCUGCUUCUGAUUAUGAUUCAGCUCCUGCUUCCGCACCUCUUCCACUUGCAAAAUGCCUUAUAUAGAUAAAUAAAAUAUAUAUAGUGGAGAAAUAUUUGAGAAUUUAUUGAUCUUUGUAUUUGCUACAUUCUUAUAUGAACGUUUUGUCAUGGAUCUUGAUUUGUAAAUUAAUAAUAUUGAAGAAAUUGAUAAUACUGAAAAGUAAUUUUCAGGUUUUGUUUGGAGACAAUAAGAAUUAAAACAUGUCUUGCAAUUUUUCUUUUAUCAUUUAUUUGCAACAUGAAGAUAAUGCUACUUUUGCAGCUCCAAGCUUGAAGGUAGACUAGUAUGUUACAGGCUCUCAGACAAAGUAUGCCACUCAAAUACAAUUUCCAUUUAUACUUUGUUACUAAGAAGAAAUUAAUGACACACCUGGACUAAUUCUAUUGAUUAUGUCGAUCAGAUUGUGAUAUGGAUUCUAAUAGGCAUUUGAUUUGGUUAUGUAUGAAGGCAAAUGACUAGUUACACACAUGGUCCAUAGAGGAUGAUGCUCUUGAGCGUACUAUUAAUGGAGAGUAAGUCUAUGACCCCAUAUGAAUUUAUUUACUAUUAUCUUGCUUAGCACAUUGGUCUCAUAACUAAGAACCUGAUUCCAGUUAUGUUAAAUAGAUAAAGUAGAAGUCUGUGAAGAAUGGAGGAUAGGAACAGAGGAAGUUAGGUCCCUUUUUAUCAUUUAGGCAGUUAUGGUAAAUAGAUAAAGUAGAAGUCUCUUAUAUUGAACUAUCCUUGCUGCUCUUAACAUUAAAUAAAAUUGCUAAAUUGAUGAUAAAUAAAAUUUUAAAUAAAUACAUGUUCAAUUUUUAUGAUGCUGGUAGGAAAAUGUAAAGAAUUUUCUUAUCUUGGAUUUGCUGUUUUAUGAUACUUUUGCACAUUUACUUUGGUUCAAGAUUUUGCUUCUUCUAUUCACUUGUACAAAAAAUAAAAAGUACUCUUUCUGCUACAUGAUCCUUUAUUUUUAGUUUUAAUUUGGAUCAGAAUAGAAUAGAGCUAUUCCCUCUUUCUUACUUCUCGCCAUAUGCUCACAGUACAUCUAGUGUAGUGAGUAGUAUAGUAGUAGAUAGGAUAAACCAUAGUUUUAGUUUGCUUGCUUUAAAUGACAUUCACUAGCAGAGAAGAUUAGACUCUACUUUAUCAGUGUCAACAAAAAGAGAUAAUAAUAAUAAUAAUAAUAAUAACCACUGCUCCUUAUGCAUGUCUUGUUUCCUAGCAAGUACGUGUAUUAGUUAUCGAUCUACAACCUACCUAUAUAUAAUCAACUAGCUACCUUCUGUUUAUGCUUAGUACAAGUACAAUUACUUAGUUAAUUAAAGCCCUUCUUCUUCUACCUUAUUUCCUAUCCUCUUAUUCCUGUUUUAGUGUCUUCUUUUAUUGUUUAAUUUAAUGGAUCAUAUUAUCCUUCAAUUUCUUGACAGAUAAUAAUUAUAAUUGAAGUGGGUACUGAUUUUUCUCUCACCAGUUUCUUGCUAUUGCUUUUGAACAAGCACUUGUUGAGGUAAG